rnacentral:rRNA from 1 species
AGCUCCAAUAGCGUAUAUUAAAGUUGUUGCAGUUAAAAAGCUCGUAGUUGGAUUUGGGACUGGAGUCGUCGGGUCGGCCGCGAGGUCUGUUACUGGACGGCUCCGUCAUUUCAUCUCUCGGAGACCCGUCGUGCACUUCGCUGUGCGCGGCGCGGGACUCGGGACGUUUACUUUGAAAAAAUUAGAGUGCUCAAAGCAGGCUAAAAUGCCUGAAUAUUCGUGCAUGGAAUAAUGGAACAGGACUACGGUCACUGCACUUUUUCCGUUGGUUUCGGAGGACCGAAGUAAUGAUUAAGAGGGACAGUUGGGGGCAUCCGUAUUUCGUAGUCAGAGGUGAAAUUCUUGGAUUUACGAAAGACGAACAACUGCGAAAGCAUUUGCCAAGAGUGUUUUCAUUAAU